AUAUGUCUGGGAUGUCCGAUAUGACCUGAUAUUUUGAACCUACAAAUCUUUAAAAGGGAUUCCUAUAUCUACAAGUGGAUGUCAGGCCUCCUUUGCAGUGGAAGGCAGAAGCUUGUGUGCGGUCACCCACCUAGCAAUGCUAGGAGUCAAAAUUCAGGAAACGGCAUUUCGGAUAUAAA
rnacentral:other from 1 species